GUCUUCAGCCACUAAGCCGAGAAGAUCUGGGAAGGAGUCAGUCAGAGAGCCUUGGGCCAGAGUUCCAGGGCCUCUGGGAGUGGCUGCCAGCUUGCCUGUUGCCAUGUAAGAUGUGCCUUUAACUUUCCAUCGUGAUUGUGAGGCCUCCCCAGCCACGUGGAACUAGUUGGCCAAGAAGAAGAAGAAAAAGUACUGAUAAAUAUUCCUCAUCACUAAAGACUGCUGGGAAAGCAGCCAAACUGGUGAAGAAAUAGGGAGAUCGGCGUCUUUUUUAACUGGGGGGAAGAAUCCUAAGUCCAACUUGAAAAAAGCAAGUCUUGCAGUUUGGUGGGAGAGAGUAUGCAGUCACCAACAUGGCAUGAAUUUAGGAGUGAAUAAACGAAAGAAAAGAAAAAACCCUAUUAUUUAGAGAUUUAGAAGCAGCAGUGCCACUCUUGGGGAAACAUUUGGCAGCAUGCAGUUGGGCCAUCAAUGAAUCCAAGGUCCAAGGGCCUGGAUUAUCUGCCAGAUUCUUGGAAAUAAUCUGGUCAGUGCUAUGAAUGGUGUAAGCAAGCCUCUUUUGAGAGAGAAGAGCUUCACAGAGAAGCAGAUUUUGCUGGUGGUGAAACAGGGGAAGGUCAUUCCUGGCAGAGGGAGCAGGUGAGCCCAGAGAAGCAGGAAAGCAGAUGGAGGGGGACCAGUUUUUUCCACAGAAUCCCUUUUCAUUUGGGGGGAAGUCUGAAAAUGUUCAGGAUGAAAAAAACUGAUUUGAGUGGUGACUUUUACUGGGAAAGGCAUUGAGUGUCCAGGUUUGGAUAACAGAGGCGACUCUUUUGGAACAGGGAAAGCUGUGGUGAAGAAGGCAAGUCACAUCCAUGUUGUGUCCUGGCCUGAUAGGAGGUUAUCAGCAAGAAAGGGAGAAGUGUGUAUUUCCUCGUUCACUUAUAUGUUCUCAAUGUCUAUCUAUUAAUACCCUCAAACCAGUGACUUUCAUUCAUGUUUAUAAAUAAAAUUAUAUAUAUGAAUACCCUAUCAAAUUAAUAAUGAUUAUUUCUGUUUACUGGAAUUAUGGAAUAUUUUUCCUUCAUUUUGCUGAUCUAAAUGUUCAUUGAUGAUUGAGAUAACAUGUUUUUCAGAAGAGAAAUAUUAAAAGCACAAUUUUUCUUGAAAUGAAUGUCUUCACAAAAGUUCUGGUUUUGAAUUCAUCUGUCUUUAACCGACCCCAGUGGCUUCCUUCUGGUUUCAUCAAAGUCAAAGAAUGACUACUACUUCUUUUCUUUUCCUCUCAUCAUUACCAAGUGAAAAUAAACUGAAACAUGAUUAUUCUUGUCAGCUCAAACAACAUACUUUCUAAGUAGACUAGAGUAGAAUAGUUGAGCCUGACAACUGUUAUAAACCAAAUGAGCAAAAAUAUGUAGGACCAUAUGGUAAAGGAUAUACAUUUAUAAGUUAAAGAAAUAUGUCCACUGGGAAAUCCUAGGGGCUGGGCCUUGGAGUUUCCUGAAGCAUCCUCCAUAGAUGAAGAUGCAUCACCUCAAUGUUAAGUCAGUCAACUCUCUUCUAAUGGAUCAAUAGCCCACUGGCUGAAGAUUUUUGAGAAUAGUUUAAAAAAUUCAUAUCUUUUGGCUGGGCACGGUGGCUCAUGCCUGUAAUCCCAGCACUUUGGGAGGCGGAGGCAGGCGGGUCACCUGAGGUCAGGAGUUUGAGAACAGCCUGGCCAACAUGGUGAAACCCUGUCUCUACUAAAAGCACAAAAAUUAGCCAGGUGUGGUGGUCCGCACCUGUAAUCCCAGCUACCCGGGAGGCUGAGACAGAAUUGCUUCAACCUGGAAGGCAGAGGUUGCAGUGAGUUGAAAUUGUACCACUGCACUCCAGCCUGGGUGACAGAGCAAGACUCCAUCUCAAAAAUAAAUAAAUAAAUACAUAAAUACAUAAGUAAAAUAAGAGUAAUGGUUUACCCCAGUGUCCUGGGCCAGGCGUUUGGAGGCUCAGAUGAAAACCUUCUGUCAACUCCCAUAAUCCUCUUUAUAGGAUCAAAGUAUAUGUGCCAUCUCAGUAAUAUAAAUUUAUGUAUAUAAUAACUGAAUGCUCUACUCAUUCGUUUGCUGGAUGUGAUGUUGCAUUGGGAAUACAAUGGAUAACAAAAGCAAAGUAAUUAAGGCAAUAUUGAGUUUCCCUUGCAGAGCAAGAGCAGAUGAUUUUAUUGCCAUAACCUUUGGAGUCGGACAGUAACCUUAGCUGAUCAGCAACUCAUUUUUCACCCGAUGUCAUUCUGUUCUCUUCUGGCCUCCUCCUAACCAUACUGUAGAUGAAUAGCCAUGCUCCUAGAUUUACUGUUCUGCCACUGACUGAGGAAGCAGCUGCUGAUGCUGUGAUGAUGCAUGCAGUCUAGGGAUGACAGGCUUUUACUUCUAUCAGGGACAUUUUUUCCUUAUUGGUUUUUAAUAAGCAAUUUUAUAUUUCAUACUGGCAGUGCUACAUCUCAGCCUGAAGAAGGGCUAAUGGCCGAAAAGAUUUUAUGUGAGUUUCACAUGGGGGCAUAUUCUACCAUCAAAGGAGCUUAAUUGCUAUGAUGGCAAAUGGCUUUGGCAUGGAAAUGCCAGGGAGCAUUUUUGAGUUCCUCUUGAAACAAAAAGAAAGAGAAAAAGAGAAUCAGACAGACACAGAGAAGCAAACACAUAUUGACAGAUACACACAGUAGGUAGCACACUCAGUUCUAUUCCUGGUACCAGAAGGAGUUCUUUAACUGGAUAGAGACAACAAAAAGGGUUAGCUAACAGAAACCAUGCAUGUACUCUGGAUGAUCUACAUGGACUAUUAUGUGGUCAUCUUAAACAUAUAGAUGUACCUAUGUGUAUACGCAUAUGUGUACACACACUUAAAACCAUAUAUGUGACACACAGAGUAGUAGAAUUAAGUGUAGUUCUGAUUUUUAAACUAUGAAUCCUUAUUCUCAUAAUGUAAUGAAAGUUAUGAGAGUGCUGUUUCUCUUUUUUGUGUUGCUUAUAUCCUCUUUCUUAGACCUAUGUUCAUAUCCAUGUGUCAGAAACUAAUUGCAGAAAAUCCUUGGCCUCUCUGUUGAGAAUGAAGUUUAUAGUCUUAGACAACUUCAUUUUCCAUAGUGUUAGACUUUUCUGAUCCUAUUUGCUACUAUAUCAAUCUAUGUAUUUAUAAGACCUUCAUGAGUUGAAAUUCUAAUUCAAUGCAUGACUUGCAAAAAUAUCUGUUGGGUAAGAUUUUAUAAAACAUCUCUGUUGUAGUAAUAAGAAGGUUUUCUUUGUGGUCUGUUGUUUGUUCUAUCAAUGAUGCUUUGGCUUUUGAUUGAAAAAGAACAAAUCCCCACCUUGGCAUAUUGUUGCCUGGAAAUUUGUCUCCAUUAUUCAGAAUUCUUAGGUUGUGGCUAUUUUAAGUAUCAAACUAUCAGAUGUCACCUCCAAUGUUAUCAACUACGUUUAAGAUCAUGUAAUUACUGCUUUGUUGAAAU